rnacentral:rRNA from 1 species
GAUGAACGCUGGCGGCGUGCUUAACACAUGCAAGUCGAACGAUGAAGCCCAGCUUGCUGGGUGGAUUAGUGGCGAACGGGUGAGUAACACGUGAGUAACCUGCCCUUAACUCUGGGAUAAGCCUGGGAAACUGGGUCUAAUACCGGAUAGGAGCGCCUACCGCAUGGUGGGUGUUGGAAAGAUUUAUCGGUUUUGGAUGGACUCGCGGCCUAUCAGCUUGUUGGUGAGGUAAUGGCUCACCAAGGCGACGACGGGUAGCCGGCCUGAGAGGGUGACCGGCCACACUGGGACUGAGACACGGCCCAGACUCCUACGGGAGGCAGCAGUGGGGAAUAUUGCACAAUGGGCGAAAGCCUGAUGCAGCGACGCCGCGUGAGGGAUGACGGCCUUCGGGUUGUAAACCUCUUUCAGUAGGGAAGAAGCGAAAGUGACGGUACCUACAGAAGAAGCACCGGCUAACUACGUG